GUCAUCAGCUCUUCUAUAAAGCCAAGUGCCCUAGGGUUUCUUCACCUUGUAAGAUUCGGUGUUUCUCACUUAACCCAAAAACAAAAACAUAAAAAACACUGAAAACACUUUUUAUCCAAACAAAUCUGAGUUUUUCUCAGAAUGAUCUUUAAAUGAUUUCGGACCAGGCUUCAUUCCUGUCAACCAACAGUUUCUCUCUAACUUCUUGAAGAAGGUGAAGAUUGAAGGAAAUCAUUUGGUAAGGUUUUGUAACUGAUACAUAAGCCUCUUAUCUUAUUUGCAUGGAAUCCAUUGACUUGAUCAUCUUUUUCUUUCUUUUUGACUCGCUUUUCUUGUCGAUUUUCAAAGAGAAAGAUAGAGAAAACAAAUUAAAGGUCUCUCCUGAAAAGAGUGUUUAUUCUUUCCCUUCUUGGGGAGUCAAAUAAUCAUUUAUAAAAUCACCUUUUGGACGACACAGAUCAGAGUUGAUUAAGAUGGUUUAUGUGAAAACCAAGAUACAAGAAUAAUUAACUCUGCAUAUUCAGUCUAGGUCAAUUGAAAAACCUAUUCUUAAUUUUAUUUUGAUCCUCUUAAUAUUGGCUCCUUUUUUUUUCUAUAUAUUUAUCAGUUACAUCAUCGUAUUAAUUAUUUUAGGAGUUACACUGUGUAGAGUUUUGAAUGAAAUUCUAAGCUAUAUUUAUAUAUAUGAAUUUAAUGAAGUUUUGUUUUUUUGGGAGAGGUUACGGUGGAGCAUUGAAGGCACUGAAGGUGAUAAGACCUGUGGAAGACAUAUAUGAAUCAGUGAAGCUUUAAUUACAGAUUAAUUGUUUGUUUUUAUUUGAUUAAUUUUUCUGUGUAUUAUAUUCUAAGAAAAAUAUAUAUGUUCUAUAAUUAUUUCGUAUUAGUUGAAGUUUUAAAUUGACAAAACAAAAAGCAAAGAUUGAAAGUAGAAUGUGAUCCAUGCCUAGGGGCUGAGCCAUCUCACCACCCGUCAUUUGGUGGGUCUAACGGGUUGGAUCAACCCGUUUGCAGGGUAAGCCCCGACGCACGGCAGAGGGGUCCUUUGGGCAUUGUCUUUGUGGAUCCUUAACGGACUAGUUACAGGUUUUUGUGGAUUGUUAUGUUGGUUUUUUGUGAGCCAAUCUACCAUAUUAUAUUUUUUACAGCCUGAUUGUGUGGUAAAACCCCUGAUAGGAGGCUAUAGCCCUUGACCCUUGAUUGCAAAAGGCUACGUGAAGAUGUUCUUUAGGCUUCAUGUCCCAUCAAAGAUAUUCAUUGUCUUUCAUAUCAAAAGGGUAAAAAACCAUACUUGACUUAUUCUCAUAUGAUUUUAUACUCAUCUACUAGAAAGUACAAUGAAUAAGGUUACAUGAGAUUGUCCAUAUGUUUGCAAGUAUACAUUCUAUUUAACUUCAACAAUGAAAACUAGGUUUGCAGGUUUGGAUAUAUAAAACGCUUGGACGAUUAGACGAAGUUGAAGUUACUAUCAACAGUGGGUCCUUGAUGAGGUCCAACUUGGAGUGCAUAUUGAUGAAUUCUUUGUACAUAUUGUACAUAUGUUGUAUAACUCAUUGUUCGUUUAUAUUACAAUAGAUGUGCAACAUCACAAUAUAGUUAUUCAUUUUAUGUCAA